rnacentral:rRNA from 1 species
AAUAUUGGUCAAUGGACGGAAGUCUGAACCAGCCAUGCCGCGUGAAGGAAGACUGCCCUAUGGGUUGUAAACUUCUUUUAUACGGGGAUAAACCUAUCUUUGCGAAGAUAGCUGAAGGUACCGUAUGAAUAAGCAUCGGCUAACUCCGUGCCAGCAGCCGCGGUAAUACGGAGGAUGCGAGCGUUAACCGGAUUUAUUGGGUUUAAAGGGUGCGUAGGCGGACAAAUAAGUCAGUGGUGAAAUCACUCAGCUUAACUGAGUAACUGCCAUUGAUACUGUUAGUCUAGAAUGUAAAUGGAGUAGGCGGAAUGAAUCAUGUAGAGGUGACAUUCAUAGAUAUGAUUCAGAACACCGAUCGCGAAGGCAGCUUGCUAAGAUACAAUUGACGCUGAUGCACGAAAGCGUGGGUAGCAAACAGG